rfam:Catenaria anguillulae PL171 BCR44scaffold_31, whole genome shotgun sequence.
GCGCCGGUGGUGAAAUGGUAUCAUUGAACCCUCCCAAGGUUUAGGCCCGGGUUCGAUUCCCGGCCGGCGCA